rnacentral:rRNA from 1 species
GGAUCAUUGUCGAACUUGCUUCAUGCAAACAUCCCGCUCUUAACAACCAAAGGCGCGGGAUGCGCCAAGGAAAAUCGAAACGAAUCUGACUCCUGCCUCGGUGCAUUGCAUCGUGUCGGCGAGUGUAUUCGAUAAGUCAUAAUGACUCUCGGCAACGGAUAUCUCGGCUCUCGCAUCGAUGAAGAACGUAGCAAAAUGCGAUACGUGGUGUGAAUUGCAGGAUCCCGUGAACCAUCGAGUUUUUGAACGCAAGUUGCGCCCGAAGCCUUUAGGCCGAGGGCACGUCUGCCUGGGCGUCACGCACCGUUGCCCCCCAAACCCCCUCAGUCCUCCACGGAGGAUUGGCGAGGCGCGUGGGGGGCGUAAAGUGGCUUCCCGUCGGCUUUGUCCCGCGGUUGGCCUAAAAAUGAAUCCCUAGCCGCGGUGCGCGCGGCAUUCGGUGGUCAUCGAUCCCUUUCGUUACCCCGCCGCGCGCUCACGUGCCGCGAAGGAUGUCACACUAGUAAACCCGACGCCUCGCUUUGUGAAGAGCGGAGCUUACAACGCGACCCCAGGUCAGGCGGGGCUACCCGCUGAA